AUUGAACGCUGGCGGCAGGCCUAACACAUGCAAGUCGAGCGGAUGAAGGGAGCUUGCUCCUGGAUUCAGCGGCGGACGGGUGAGUAAUGCCUAGGAAUCUGCCUGGUAGUGGGGGGUAACGUCCGGAAACGGGCGCUAAUACCGCAUACGUCCUGAGGGAGAAAGUGGGGGAUCUUCGGACCUCACGCUAUCAGAUGAGCCUAGGUCGGAUUAGCUAGUUGGUGGGGUAAAGGCCUACCAAGGCGACGAUCCGUAACUGGUCUGAGAGGAUGAUCAGUCACACUGGAACUGAGACACGGUCCAGACUCCUACGGGAGGCAGCAGUGGGGAAUAUUGGACAAUGGGCGAAAGCCUGAUCCAGCCAUGCCGCGUGGGUGAAGAAGGUCUGCGGAUUGUAAAGCACUUUAAGUUGGGAGGAAGAGCAGUAAGUUAAUACCUUGCUGUUUUGACGUUACCAACAGAAUAAGCACCGGCUAACUUCGU
rnacentral:rRNA from 1 species